GAUGAACGCUGGCGGCGUGCCUAAUACAUGCAAGUCGAGCGAACAGACGAGGAGCUUGCUCCUCUGACGUUAGCGGCGGACGGGUGAGUAACACGUGGAUAACCUACCUAUAAGACUGGGAUAACUUCGGGAAACCGGAGCUAAUACCGGAUAAUAUAUUGAACCGCAUGGUUCAAUAGUGAAAGACGGUUUUGCUGACACUUAUAGAUGGAUCCGCGCCGCAUUAGCUAGUUGGUAAGGUAACGGCUUACCAAGGCGACGAUGCGUAGCCGACCUGAAAGGGUGGUCGGCCACACGGGAACUGAGACACGGUCCAGACUCCGACGGGAGGCAGCAGUAGGGAAUCUUCCGCAAUGGGCGAAAGCCUGACGGAGCAACACCGCGUGAGGGAUGAAGGUCUUCGGAUCGUAAAACUCUGUUAUUAGGGAAGAACAAAUGUGUAAGUAACUAUGCACAUCUUGACGGUACCUAAUCAGAAAGCCACGGCUAACUACGUG
rnacentral:rRNA from 1 species